rnacentral:rRNA from 1 species
CAGUCGCCGCGGUAAUACGGAGGGGGCUAGCGUUGUUCGGAAUUACUGGGCGUAAAGCGCACGUAGGCGGCUAUUCAAGUCAGGGGUGAAAGCCCGGGGCUCAACCUCGGAACUGCCUUUGAAACUAGAUAGCUAGAAUCUUGGAGAGGCGAGUGGAAUUCCGAGUGUAGAGGUGAAAUUCGUAGAUAUUGGGAAGAACACCAGUGGCGAAGGCGGCUCACUGGACCGACACUGACGCUGAGGCGCGAAAGCGUGGGGAGCAAACAGGAUUAGAUACCCCAGUAGUCCCUGUCUCUUAUAA